rnacentral:snRNA from 1 species
GACCUCCUAGGAAGUCCUCGUGUU